UGUUUAUUAUCCUUCAAAUAUUUUUCACAACACGUGCACUUUGGAAAAUUGGGGAAUAUAUAUUUAUAACUUAUCUCACCGUUGGACUAUUAGGUAAACUUUGAACUUCGUAGGCGGGCAAACCAGAAGGGACCCGAUGAAAAAAGGUUUCAUCAGUUGGCAAACUCUGUAGAGAGUUUCGCGGCCUGUUUGCUUGAUCCACUGCGAUAUGAUCAAGACAGGCGUGAAAAAUUUGGUGAUGGAUUGGAUGAGAUAUUGAAAGACGCCAUUCAGCUAAAUCAGAAAAAGUUUUUUACGCAUCCAGUCGUGGAUACUGAAAUCAAACGCAAAUGGUAUGGUCGAGAUUUUAUGAAGACUGAAUGGAAAAGGUGGAAAGCACUGUUUGUCUUCUGGUGUCUUUUUGAUUUGGUGUUCUCUCCAAUCCUGUUUGCUGUGUUUUCUCUGAUGACAAAAAAGGACAAAGAGGAAAAUUCUUCAGAUUCAUUCUCUGAAAGUGAUGAAGAAACGAAAAGCGAUGAUUGGGAAAACGAAAAGCUCAAGGUAAAAUAAUGGUGUGAUACAGUAUUUAACUGAAGACCUUAAAUGUUCUUUUCACUAACCCACUGCUCACUGGAACAUGAAACACCCCCAAAUAGCAUGAAUAAUUUUAGACUGCCUGGUUGUAGCAAUCAGACAUAAAUUAUGCUUUUAAUGGUCUUUCAUAGUCUUA